AACGAACGCUGGCGGCAGGCUUAACACAUGCAAGUCGAACGAAGUCUUCGGACUUAGUGGCAGACGGGUGAGUAACGCGUGGGAACAUACCUUUCGGUACGGAACAACAGUUGGAAACGACUGCUAAUACCGUAUACGCCCUAUGGGGGAAAGAUUUAUCGCCGAGAGAUUGGCCCGCGUUAGAUUAGCUAGUUGGUGAGGUAAUGGCUCACCAAGGCGACGAUCUAUAGCUGGUCUGAGAGGAUGAUCAGCCACACUGGGACUGAGACACGGCCCAGACUCCUACGGGAGGCAGCAGUGGGGAAUAUUGGACAAUGGGCGCAAGCCUGAUCCAGCCAUGCCGCGUGAGUGAUGAAGGCCUUAGGGUUGUAAAGCUCUUUCAGCGAGGAGGAUAAUGACGUACUCGCAGAAGAG
rnacentral:rRNA from 1 species